rnacentral:lncRNA from 1 species
AAGCUCACUUGCCCAUGCUGCUUAUUGAAAACUUAAAGCUCACUUGUCCCUGUCAUUUGUAAAAGAACUUAAAGCUCACUUAUCCUCAUUGUUAAUUGAAGAGCUUAAAGCAUAAAGCUCACUUGUCCCUGCUGCAUAUUAAACAGCAUAAAGCUCGCGUGUCCCUAUGGCUUAUAGAAAAGCUUGAAGGUUAGUUGUCCCAGUCUCUUAUAGAAGAGUUUAAAGCUCACGCUCCCUGUUGCUUAUAAAAGAGAUUAAAAUAAUCUUGUCCAUGUCCCUAAUAGAACAACUUAAAGCUCACAUAAAAGAGCAUGUAGCUCACGUGUCCAUAUGGAUAUAAAAUAGCAUAAAGCUCAACGUUUCCUUCCCAUUUAUGAAAAAGCUUAGAGGUCACUUGUCCCUCUCGCUUAUAAAAGGGCUUAAAGCUCACGGGUCCCUGUUGUUUAAUAUAAGAGCUUAAAGCUCACUUUUCUCUGCCACUCGUAAAAGACCAUAAAGCUUACUUGCUCCUGCCGCUUAUAAAAGAGCGUAAAGCUCACUUGUCCCUGUCAUUUAUGAAAGAGUUUUAACGCUCACUUGUUCCCAUCAUUAAUUAAAGAGCUUGAAGCAUAACGCUCACUUGUCCCUGCUGCUUAUUAAAGAGCAUAAAGCCCACUUGUCCCUCUGGCUUAUGGAAAAGCUUAAAGGUUGCUUGUCCCUGUCUCCUAUAGAAGAGUUUAAAGCUCAUGUGUCCAUGUUGCUUAUAAAAGAGAUUAAUAUAAACUUGUCCAUGUCCCUACUAAAAUAACUUAAAGCUCACAUAAAAGAGCAUGACGCUCACGUGUCCCGAUGUUGAUUAUAAAAGAGCUUAAAGCUCACUUGUCCUCGUCGCUUGCAAAAGAGCUAAAGCUCACUUGUCCCCCCUCCCCCCGCGCUUAUAAAAGAACUUAAAAGCUCACUUGUCUCUGCCGCUUAUAGAAGAGCUCAAAGUUCUGGGGUCUGUGUAUAUAAAAGAGCUUAAAGCUCAUGUGUCCCGGUUGCUUAUAAAAGAGCUUAAAGCUCACUUGUCCCUCUCGUUUAUAAAAAAGAGCAUAAAGGUCACAUGUCUUUAUCGCUUCUUAAAGAGCUUAAAGCUCACUUGUCCCUAUGGCUUAUAAAAGAGCUUGAAGCUCAUUCGUCCUGCUGCUUAUAAAAGAGUAGGAAGCUCACGUGUCAAUGUGGCUCAUAAAAGAGCUUAAAGUUUGCUUGUCUCUGUAGCUUAUAAAAGGGCUUAAAGCUGAAAGCUCAUGUGUCCUAUUGGCUUAUAAAAGAGUUUAAAGCUCACGUGUCCCUUCUGUUCAUAAAAGAGUUUAGUGCUCAUGUGUCCCUCUUACUUACAAAAGAGCGCAAUGCUCAUGUGUCACUCCUAAGCAAGAGCUUAAUGCUCACAUGUCCCUGGUGCUUAUAAAAGAGCUUAAAGCUCAUGUGUCCCGGUUGCUUAUAAAAGUGCUUAACACUCACGUGUCCUUGCUUAAGAAAGAGUUUAAUGCUCAUAACCCAAUGAUUACGAAAUAGCUUGAUGAUCAUGUGUGAAAGCGCUUAAUGCUCAAAUGUCCCUGUUGCUUAUCUAAAAACUUUCUCGAGUGUCCCUGUUGCAUAUGAAAAGAGCUUAAUGCGCACGUAUCCCUCAGAGCUGAUGCUCACAUGUCCCUCAUGUGUCCCUGUGGCAUAUGAAAGAGCUUACAGCUCACUUGUCCCUAUCAAUUAUAAAAGUGCUUAAAGCUCACUUGUGCCUAUUCCUUAUUAAAGCGCCUAAAGCUUACGUGUUCCCUGUUGCUGAUAAAAGAGUUUCAAGUUUACUUGCCCCCAUCGCUUAUAAAAGAGCUUAAAGCUCACAUAAAAUAGCAUGAAGCUCACUUGUCCUUGUGAAUUAUAAAAGAGUUUAGAGCUCACUUGUCGGUGUCGCUUAUAAAAGAGCUUAAAGCUCACUUGUCCCUCCCACUUAUACAAGAGCAUAAAGCUCACGUGUCCUGGUUGCUUGUAAAAUAGCUUAUAGCUGACUUGUCCCUCUCUCUCGCUCUCUUAUAAAAGAGCUUAAACCUCACGUCUCCCUGUCACUUAUGAAAGAGCAUUCAGCUCACUUGUCUAUGUCACUUAUAAAGAGCUCAAAGCUCAUGUGUCUAUGUCCCUUAUAAAAGAGCAUGAAGCGCACGUGUCUCUGUGGCCUAUAAAAGAGCUUAAAGCUCACUUCUCCCUGUUGCUUAUCAAAGAGCUUAAAAGUUACUUGUCCCUCCCCAUUUGUAAAUGUCCCUGUCGUUUAUAAAAUUGCAUAUAGCUCAUGUGUCCUUGAUGCUUGUAAAAGAGCUUAAAGCUCACGUGUCUAUAUCGCUUAUAAAAGAGCUUAAAGCUCUAUAUCGCUUAUAAAAGGCUUAAAGCUCAUGUGUCUCUAUUGCUAAGGCUCAUGUGUCCCUAUUGUUUAUAAAAGAGCUUAACGGCACAGUUACUCUUGCUUAUAAAAGAGCUUAAUGCUCAUUUAUCCUAAUGAUUAUGAAGUAGCACAAUGCUUAUGAAAGAACUUGCUCAAAUGUCCAUGUUGCUUAUGAAAAGCGUCUAAUGCUCAGGUAUCACUCAUAGCUUGAUUCUCACAUGUCCCUACUGCUUAUGAAAGAGCUUAAAGCUCACUUAUCGUGUGGCUUAUGAAAGAGCCUAAAGCUCACUUGCCCUUGUUACUUAUAAAAUAGCAUAAAGCUCACUUGCCCAUGCUGCUUAUUGAAAAACUUUAAAGCUCACUUGUCCCUGUCAUUUGUAAAAGAACUUAAAGCUCACUUAUCCUCAUUGUUAAUUGAAGAGCUUAAAGAUAAAGCUCACUUAGGUCCCUCUGCAUAUUAAACACUAAAGCUCGCGUGUCCCUAUGGCUUAUAGAAAGCUUGAAGGUUAGUUGUCCCAGUCUCUUAUAAAAGAGUUUAAAGCUGACGCUCCCUGUUGCUUAUAAAAGAGAUUAAAAUAAUCUUGUCCAUGUCCCUAAUAGAACAUCUUAAAGUCACAUAAAAGAGAUGAGCUCACGUGUCCAUAUGGAUAUAAAAUAGCAUAAAGCUCAACGUUUCCUUCCCAUUUAUGAAAAAGCUUAGAGGUCACUUGUCUCUCUCGCUUAUAAAAGGGCUUAAAGCUCACGGGUCCCUGUUGUUUAAUAUAAGAGCUUAAAGUUCACCUUUCUCUGCCACUCGUAAAAGACCGUAAAGCUUACUUGCUCCUGCCGCUUAUAAAAGAGCGUAAAACUCACUUGUCCCUGUCAUUUAUGAAAGAGUUUUAACGAUCACUUGUUCCCAUCAUUAAUUAAAGAGCUUGAAGCAUAACGCUCACUUGUCCCUGCUGCUUAUUAAACAACAUAAAGCCCACUUGUCCCUCUGGCUUAUGGAAAAGCUUAAAGGUUGCUCGUCCCUGUCUCCUAUAGAAGAGUUUAAAGCUCAUGUGUCCAUGUUGCUACUAAAAUAACUUAAAGCUCACAUAACAGAGCAUGACGCUCACAUAUCCCGAUGUUGAUUAUAAAAGAGCUUAAAGCUCACUUGUCCUCGUCGCUUGCAAAAGAGCUUAAAGCUCACUUGUCCUCGUCGCUUGCAAAAGAGCUAAAGCUCACUUGUCCCCCAACGCCCCCGCUUAUAAAGAGCUUAAAAGCUCACUGUCUCUGCGCUUAUAAAGAGUUAAAGUUCUGGGGUCUGUAUAAAAGAGCUUAAAGCUCACUUGUCCCCUCGUUUAUAAAAAAGAGCAUAAAGGUCACAUGUCUUUAUCGCUUCUUAAAGAGCUUAAAGCUACUUGUCCCUAUGGCUUAUAAAAGAGCUUGAAGCUCAUUCGUCCUGCUGUUAAAAGAGUAUGAAGUUCACGUGUCCCUGUGGCUCAUAAAAGAGCUUAAACUUUGCUUCUCCCUGUAGCUUAUAAGGCGUAAAGAACUAUGUCAGUGUUCCUAUGGUAUAAAGUUUAAAGCUCACGUGUCCCUUCUGUUCACAGAAGAGUUUAGUGCUCAUGUGUCCCUCUUACUUACAAAAGAGCGCAAUGCUCAUGUGUCACUCCUAAGCAAGAGCUUAAUGCUCACAUGUCCCUGGUGCUUAUAAAAGAGCUUAAAGCUCAUGUGUCCCGGUUGCUUAUAAAAGUGCUUAAGACUCACGUGUCCUUGCUUAAAAUGCUCAUAACCCAAUGAUUACGAAAUAGCUUGAUGAUCAUGUGUGAAAGCGCUUGAUGCUCAAAUGUCCCUGUUGCUUAUCUAAAAACUUUCUCGAGUGUCCCUGUUGCAUAUGAAAAGAGCUUAAUGCGCACGUAUCCCUCAGAGCUGAUGCUCACAUGUCCCUCAUGUGUCCCUGUGGCAUAUGAAAGAGCUUACAGCUCACUUGUCCCUAUCAAUUAUAACAGAGCUUAAAGCUCACUUGUCCCUAUUCCUUAUUAAAGCGCCUAAAGCUUACGUGUUCCGUGUUGCUUAUAAAAGAGUUUCAAGUUUACUUGCCCCCAUCACUUAUAAAAGAGCUUAAAGCUCACAUAAAAUAGCAUGAAGCUCACUUGUCCUUGUGAAUUAUAAAAGAGUUUAGAGCUCACUUGUCGGUGUCGCUUAUAAAAGAGCUUAAAGCUCACUUGUCCCUACUUAUACAAGAGCAUAAAGCUACGUGUCCUGGUUGCUUGUAAAUAGCUUAUAGAUUCCUCUCUCUCUCUUAUAAAAGAGCUUAAACCUCACGUCUCCCUGUCACUUAUAAAAGAGCAUUCAGCUCACUUGUCUAUGUCUUAAAAGAGCUCAAAGCUCAUGUGUCCAUGUCCCUUAUAAAAGAGCAUGAAGCGCACGUGUCUCUGUGGCCUAUAAAAGAGCUUAAAGCUCACUUCUCCCUGUUGCUUAUCAAAGAGCUUAAAAGUUACUUGUCCCUCCCCAUUUGUAAAUGUCCCUGCGUUUAUAAAAUUGCAUAUAGCUCAUGUGUCCUUGAUGCUUGUAAAAGAGCUUAAAGCUCACGUGUCUAUAUCGCUUAUAAAAGAGCUUAAGGCUCAUGUGUCUCUAGCUUAAGGCUCAUUUGUAAAAAAGAGCUUAACGGCACAUGUUCUCUUGCUUAUAAAAGAGCUUAAUGCUCAUAUCCUAAUGAUUAUGAAGUAGCACAAUGCUUAUGAAAGAAUUGCUCAAAUGUCCAUGUUGCUUAUGAAAAGCGUCUAAUGCUCAGGUAUCACUCAUAGCUUGAUUCUACAUGUCCCUACUGCUUAUAAAGAGCUUAAGCUCACUUAUCGUGUGGCUUAUGAAAGAGCCUAAAGCUCACUUGCCCUUGUUACUUAUAAAAAGCAUAAAGCUCACUUGCCCAUGCUGCUUAUUGAAAAACUUAAAGCUCACUUGUCCCUGUCAUUUGUAAAAGAACUUAACUCACUUAUCCUCAUGUUAAUUGAAGAGUUAAAGCAUAAAGCUCACUUGUCCCUCUGCAUAUUAAACAGCAUAAAGCUCGCGUGUCCCUAUGGCUUAUAGAAAAGCUUGAAGGUUAGUUGUCCCAGUCUCUUAUAGAAGAGUUUAAAGCUCACGUCCUGUUGCUUAUAAAAGAGAUUAAAAUAAUCUUGUCCAUGCCCUAAUAGAACAACUUAAAGCUCACAUAAAAGAGCAUGUAGCUCACGUGUCCAUAUGGAUAUAAAAUAGCAUAAAGCAACUUUCUUCCCAUUUAUGAAAAAGCUUAAGGUCACUUGUCCCUCUCGCUUAUAAAAGGGCUUAAAGCUCACGGUCCUGUUGUUAAUAUAAGAGCUUAAAGCUCACUUUUCUCUGCCACUCGUAAGACCAUAAAGCUUACUUGUCUGCCGCUUAUAAAAGAGCGUAAACUCACUUGUCCUGUCAUUUAUGAAAGAGUUUUAACGCUCACUUGUUCCCAUCAUUAAUUAAGAGCUUGAAGCAUAACGUCACUGUCCACUGCUUAUUAAAGAGCAUAAAGCCCACUUGUCCCUAUGGCUUAUGGAAAAGCUUAAAG